AGUGAACGCUGGCGGUAGGCCUAACACAUGCAAGUCGAACGGCAGCACAGUAAGAUCUUGCUCUUACGGGUGGCGAGUGGCGGACGGGUGAGGAAUACAUCGGAAUCUACUUUUUCGUGGGGGAUAACGUAGGGAAACUUACGCUAAUACCGCAUACGACCUACGGGUUAAAGCAGGGGAUCUUCGCACCUUGCGCGAUUGAAUUAGCCGAUGUCGGAUUAGCUAGUUGGCGGGGUAAAGGCCCACCAAGGCGACGAUCCGUAGCUGGUCUGAGAGGAUGAUCAGCCACACUGGAACUGAGACACGGUCCAGACUCCUACGGGAGGCAGCAGUAGGGAAUAUUGGGCAAUGGGCGAAAGCCUGAUGCAGCAAUACCGCGUGGGUGAUGAAGGCCUUCGGGUCGUAAAGCCCUGUUGUUGGGAAAGAAAAGCAGCAGGUGAAUACCCCGCUGUUCUGACGGUACCCAAAGAGUAAGCACCGGCUAACUUCGUG
rnacentral:rRNA from 1 species